UAUAUAUUUUUUUUUCAGGUUUAUGAUACAAUGAGUUUCGUUCACAUCCGUGGUUUACAGCCGUUUCAAUUUAACAAGAAGAUUAAAGUCCGUGUAUGUAGAAUUUGGAGACCAAAACUUAUUGGAUAUGAUGAUCAAUUCGGUGGUUUACAGUGUAGUGUAUAUUGGAUGAUCAAAUGGCAGAUGCGAUUCAAGCCAUUGUGAAAGAGAUUCACUAUGAUUUAAUUGGUGCAAAGAUAAAAGCUGGUUGUAUUUAUGAGAUCACACAUUUUCACUCCGGCCGUAGCAAAACAUCACACAAAGUUGUUCCGCAUGCUGCCCAUUUGUUCUUCAAUACAAGAACCGUUUUCACCAAACUGUCAAGUGUUUAUCCCCAAAUUCCAUGACAUCGAUUUUAUUUUCUUGAUUAUGGUCAGUUGUGCACUCGCAUAGACAAAAAUGAAAUCCUGACAGAUGUUUUGGGACACAUUACUGCUGUACAACCUUUAGAAGAAAAAAUGGUGGGCAAUGGACGGUUGGAAACCAAAUGUGAAAUUUACAUUCAAAAUAUCAGGAAAGAAGAUGUUAGAAUAACGCUAUGGGGAGACACUGCACGAGCGUUUGAUUUCCAAGCUUUGUAAGAGUUGGCACCACCAAUAAUCACUGUUUUCACAAAGUCUUAAAGUCAAACAAUUCCAAGGAAAAACCGUUCUGAACAGUAGCGUGUCAACAAUGAUUUUCAUCGAUCCGGAUAUACAAGAAUUAGAUACAUACAAAAUGACCUUUGGCACUUUUGUAGAUGCUAUUAAAAUGGUCCCUCCUUCUUCAAUUCAACCGAUCAAGCCUGAGGAAUUAGAAACUGCUAAAAAGCUAUCUAUACAAGAGUUGAAUGUUCUUGAUCCGGAUUUAUGCAAGGAUGCUUUCAUUUUAUGUAGAGCAGCUAUUACACGUUUUGAUACGCGUACUAGAUGGUGGUAUAAGGCAUGUCCAUCCUGCUUCAAACAGCUUAGAUCCAUUGCCCA